rnacentral:rRNA from 1 species
CCUACGGGUGGCAGCAGUGAGGAAUAUUGGUCAAUGGGCGCAAGCCUGAACCAGCCAAGUCGCGUGCAGGAUGACUGCCCUACGGGUUGUAAACUUCUUUUAUAAAAGGAUAAAGUUGAGCACGUGUGCCUUUUUGUAUGUACUUUAUGAAUAAGGAUCGGCUAACUCCGUGCCAGCAGCCGCGGUAAUACGGAGGAUCCGAGCGUUAUCCGGAUUUAUUGGGUUUAAAGGGAGCGUAGAUGGGUUGUUAAGUAAGUUGUGAAAGUUUGCGGCUCAACCGUAAAAUUGCAAUUGAUACUGUCAGCCUUGAGAACAGAUGAGGUAGGCGGAAUUCGUGGUGUAGCGGUGAAAUGCUUAGAGAUCAUGAAGAACUCCGAUUGCGAAGGCAGCCUACUAAUCUGCCACUGACAUUGAUGCACGAAAGUGUGGGUAUCAAACAGGAUUAGAUACCCUAGUAGUC